UGAAGAGAAGGCCUGGCUGCCCUUCGCGGAAGGGCUCUGGUUGGGUGCGGAGUAGUACCGUGGGAGGGUGCGCUGGGCCAGAGCCCCGCCCCGGCCCUACCUUCCCUGUGGAGGCUCCCCGCUGACCCCCGGGGACGGUGCCCGCCCGUUUCUACGCACCUACUGGGCGCUAGGGUCGGAGACCCACCCGCUUCCCAGCCCCGGCCUCGCAUUCUCAAGAGGCAGCCACGGGGUCGGGCCAAGCGGGCAGGUACGAUCAUGCUCCCUGUCCCCGAUGUAUUUGAGCGCCCUCAACAAAGCCGACAUGGGAAACCCCUCCCGUCGGGGUGGCCGUCACAAUCUCGGCAGGCGACGCGAGGACUUCCGAGGGAAGGGGCGAACGCAGAGGGACUCUGGUGUUCUCACUGGAACUUCACACCCUCACUUGCAGUCCCCUAUUAUAGCUGCUUUGCUCUGACUGCGGGAGCAGGUCAUCGCGGGGCGACUUCCCAAAGUUCUAUCCCGCUAAGGAUCUGCUGAAGUGCCUGUGUGUAAUGAGAAUUCAAGGAUCAGCCACAGAGCUAGAGGGAGAACUCAGCCUUUUCAAGUGUGUGGAACCCGAAAGGUUGGAACAACUAGAAACUGAGCAGCCAGAGUUGGAAGCCGAAGAACGGGAAUUACCUCCGGCCACUGGCUAUGUCUUUUGCCAGUUGAACCUUUCCCUUGCUCAGCAUCUCACCCAGACCCCUCAAUAAGUGACUUUUUUUUAAGAACAGUUGAUGUUAAUAAGCUUUGGUAAGCAGGAAAAGACCAAACCGAAGUCUUCUCGCACCCAAAUCCACUAGAGGGCAGGGCUACACCUGCUGAGUUCGACCGCAUCCGCCACAAAGAACUGUGAAGACCGCAGGAGUCCUCACUUGUGUGCUAGAGCAGAUUAUGAACAGUACAACAUACGUGGGAAGUUCAUUUCUUUUUCUGUUAAAGCAUGGAACUGUCGUAUGAGGUGUCCGAAUUGUCCACCUUUCUAUUGCUCACUGCACUAGAAUCUUGGGGCUGGAAGGGGUCUGAUAAGUCAUUUAAUCUUCUCUUUCAUGAUGGAGAAACAAACCAUCACUACAACAUCCCCCAAGGAGAUACCCUGCCCUCUGCAAAAGGUGUCCCAUUCCUCCACCUCUCAUUUUUGCAAAGUUCAUCCUUAUGAUUGUAUCACAAUCUUUCCCUGAUUUUUUCCCCAUUAGUUAUGGUUAUUUCUUCUGGAACAUCUCAAAUGCGCCUCCAUUUUUUCUCUACAAAUUAGCCCUAUAGGUCUUGUGAAACAUAUAAGAAACAAACAAAUACAAACAAAACAUCCAUGUCUAAAAUUUCUUCCUCUCAAAAGCUAACAUCCAGGAUUCUUUCAAGCACUUCUGUCUCUGGAAAGUAUUUAUCAUCCUCCUAAUCCCUUCCCCACUAUUGACCAUGCCCCCCAUCCCAUGAACCAAUUCCACAAACUUAUAUUCACAGUGCCUUCCAUCUAAUAGGCAAUUGCUAGUCAUCCAGAAUGUACUGGCAAUCAAACAGCCCCGCCGGACCAAGGUGUGAAAGUCAGGAAACGCUGUCCAAAGGGACUUAAGAUUGAAUUAAGAUCUGAAGGAAGAGCAGAUAGUAACUAAGGGAGGAUAGUGAAGGGACAGUUGGAACAAAAGCCCUGGCUGGGGAAUGUCAGGGGAACAGGGAGAAGUAGAUCUGGGGUGCAGAGAGCAAAGGGAGGCAAGAUAAGCAUGCAGCUGGAGAGAUGACCAGGGUCAGACUACAUAAGGCCCUCCAUGCUGGGCGACUUUGUCUUUAUCCUACAAGCAAGUAGAAAGAAACCAGGGAAAGAAUGUAAGCAUGAGGCUGGGGAAUUUCCUGUCAGGUUUGUGUCUCCAGAAGACCUCUCUGGUUGUAGUGAGAAGAACUGCUUAGACAGGACAGCAGUGGACAGAGGAAGACCCAAAAGAAGGCUGUUACAGUAUUUCAGGCAAGAGGUGAUGAUGGCCACUGGGCUAAGAUGGUGAGAAAGUAGACGACAGAUUGAUUGGAAGGAUGUUUAGGGAUGCAAUUGAAAGGACUUGGUAAUAAAUUAGAUAUUGACUAGGGGAGCAAAAAAUGCCAAAGAUGACUCCUAGGGCUCUGCCUGAAUAAUAGAUGGAUGGUGAUGGUGCCAUUUUCUCAGACAGAGAAGACAAGUUUGAGAGAGGGGAAGAACAGGAGAGUGGGUGCUGAUGACUAGAAAGCCAUUCAUCUUCAUGCAAGCUAUCCAUUACAAUUCUCAGGCAUCUUGAAAGUUAUGGAGUGCUGCAGACUGAAUGUUUGUGUCCCCCCACACCCCAUUGUAUGUUGAAUUCCUCUCCUCCACCCCCACCACAGUGCGGUGGUAUUAGGAGGGGGCCUUUGGUAUGUGAUUAGGUCAUGAGGCUGGAGCCCUCAUGAAUGGGAUUCGUGCCCUUAAAAAUGAGACCCUGAAGAGUUAGUUCCUUCUUCUCCUUCUGCCACAUGAGGAUACAACUGAGAAGUUGGCAGUCUGCAACCAGGAAGUGGGCUUUCACCAAACAUCGAACCGGCCAGCCCCUCGGUCUCAGACUUUCAGCCUCCAGAACAGUGAGAAAAAAAUUCCUGUGGUUUAUAAGUCACCCAGUCUGAUAGUUUGUUAUAAAAAUUUGAAUGGCUGAAGACAUGGAGAAAACCACUGGAGGCUUUUUUGGGUAAAUAAAUAGCUCCUUUUUUUCUUUAUAAUUUCUCCCUUCAGAUAGAGGUGACUGUUAUAAUUACCAUGAUAAAACAAUUCAACUUUUAAUGUCACAUUUAAUAGUCAGAAAUAUUAAGGUUCAGCUUCAUAUUAUUGUAGCAAUUUAACUGCCAGUGUUACCUGUAUAUAAUCACAUGAAUUCCCACACAGGAGUAUGGUCGAAUCUCUGGCCUCUAUCUUACAUUCUACCACAUAAUCUUUUCCUCUUGGUUCUGGAGGAGAGUUUUUCCUACCCAAGAGCAAGGACAUGGGCCAAAUGCCUUUAAUUUCCCCCUGCGAUGUCAUUUGAGCUAUCAAUAGUAUUUCAUGACUUUUUAAAAGAGGCUUUAAAAAAUGGAUAACUUUGUAUACGCUCAAGAUAAAACCAACUCUCUUUAAGGGGCUAAAGCCUCUUAACAUUUCAUAAACCAAGCUGUAGUGAAAAUUAUACCAUUUCAUCUAGAACCUGUAUCAGCCACUCAAAACCCUUAUGUAACAUUGCAAACCUCAACAUGUAUUUUUGGGGGGUGUAAAAGGAGUCCUUAAUUUUUAUAUUGUUAUUCAGAGCAGGUAUAAGAGCCAAAAUGAAGGCAAAGUUUCUAAUGUUCAAAUUAAAUCCAAAUAUGUAUUUAACAACCCAACUUUGAGGUUGGAAUUCAUUAAGUAACCCAUCAAGAAAUAAAAAUCCAGUGACCCUUUUUGAACUAGAAACCUUUUCUUAAGCCAUUGAAAAGAAACUUUAGACCAACCUCCAAUAAUAUUUUGGUUCUAAUCUUUAAUUAAAAUAUAGCUACUGUACAUGCCCUCUGGUCCUCAAAGACCACUCUCCCCAUUUUAAGCAGAUUCAUCAGAGCAGGUCUUGAGCCAGAUACGCCUGCUGUGACUGCAGUAUGUAGUUUCUGGUUCAUUUUAUAAACAUUGGAGUACAGCUCUUUCUACUCAUUGAGACUAUGAGCAUCACAGAGGGGCCGCCUAGUUCAUUUUAACAUUUUUAUCCCUUAUAAAUAUAUUCCACACACAAUGUA